AGAGAGAAAGUGCAGGGCCAAGGAGCACCUCUGCAGGAAACAAAGAAGCAUCCCCCACUGCGUCUUCCAGAAAUAGCUGGGGAGGAAAAGAAGAACAAUACUUUUUCCACAUUCACACGGGGAUCACAUCACAGUGGCUCAUGGAGAUUCAGAUGAAUGUUCAUUUGGCAUCUGGCAAAUCUUCAAGAGAACUAACGUUAGCCUACAUAGGAGCUGGAAAAUUUUAGUCUAUUUCAAAAUCAUGGGCCAAGAAAGGAAAGAACAUGCACACAAAAGAACACCAUCAAGGGCUUGUGAAUCACAGGCACUGCUUCAGCAAAGGCUUGGAUCGCGCUGCAUGAAGCACAUCAGGAUGACAGCAAGAGAAAUCCUCUCCUUCUCAGGAAGGAAUGCAAGUGAAAGACUGCUGGUGAGGGAGGGAGAGACAAAUGGAUAUAAGCACAUAACGUGGAUACUCUCAUUUGUUGCCAAAAAUGCUUAGAAAUGGCAGAACUUUGAUAUAAGGAGGCUCGGAGCAAUGUUAGAAACUUACAAGUUCUGAGCGUGGAUCAUCUAAUAAAAUGCUG
rnacentral:lncRNA from 7 species